rnacentral:rRNA from 1 species
CAGUUGAAACGACUGCUAAUACCGCAUAAUGUCUUCGGACCAAACGGGGCUUCGGCUCCGGCGCAAAGAGAGGCCCAAGUGAGAUUAGCUAGUUGGUAAGGUAACGGCUUACCAAGGCGACGAUCUCUAGCUGUUCUGAGAGGAAGAUCAGCCACACUGGGACUGAGACACGGCCCAGACUCCUACGGGAGGCAGCAGUGGGGAAUAUUGCACAAUGGGGGAAACCCUGAUGGCAGCCAUGCCGCGUGUGUGAAGAAGGCCUUCGGGGUUGUAAAGCACUUUCAGUUGUGAGGAAAAAGUUAGUAGUUAAUACCUGCUAGCCGUGACGUUAACAACAGAAGAAGCACCGGCUAACUCCGUGCCAGCAGCCGCGGUAA